GGGGAAUUUUGGACAAUGGGCGCAAGCCUGAUCCAGCAAUGCCGCGUGCAGGAAGAAGGCCUUCGGGUUGUAAACUGCUUUUGUCAGGGAAGAAAUCUUCUGGGCUAAUACCCCGGGAGGAUGACGGUACCUGAAGAAUAAGCACCGGCUAACUACGUGCCAGCAGCCGCGGUAAUACGUAGGGUGCGAGCGUUAAUCGGAAUUACUGGGCGUAAAGCGUGCGCAGGCGGCUUUGCAAGACAGAUGUGAAAUCCCCGGGCUCAACCUGGGAGCUGCAUUUGUGACUGCAAGGCUAGAGUACGGCAGAGGGGGAUGGAAUUCCGCGUGUAGCAGUGAAAUGCGUAGAUAUGCGGAGGAACACCAAUGGCGAAGGCAAUCCCCUGGGCCUGUACUGACGCUCAUGCACGAAAGCGUGGGGAGCAAACAGGAUUAGAUACCCUGGUAGUCCACGCCCUAAACGAUGUCAACUGGUUGUUGGACGGCUUGCUGUUCAGUAACGAAGCUAACGCGUGAAGCUGACCGCCUGGGGAGUACGGCCGCAAGGUUG
rnacentral:rRNA from 1 species